GAUGAACGCUGGCGGUAUGCUUAACACAUGCAAGUCGAACGGGAAUUUUCGGAUUCUAGUGGCGGACGGGUGAGUAACGCGUAAGAAUCUGGCUCUAGGUCGGGGACAACCACUGGAAACGGUGGCUAAUACCGGAUAUGCCGAGAGGUGAAAGGCUAGCUGCCUGGAGAAGAGCUUGCGUCUGAUUAGCUAGUUGGUGGGGUAAGAGCCUACCAAGGCGACGAUCAGUAGCUGGUCUGAGAGGAUGAUCAGCCACACUGGGACUGAGACACGGCCCAGACUCCUACGGGAGGCAGCAGUGGGGAAUUUUCCGCAAUGGGCGAAAGCCUGACGGAGCAAUACCGCGUGAGGGAGGAAGGCUCUUGGGUUGUAAACCUCUUUUCUCAGGGAAGAAAAAAAUGACGGUACCUGAGGAAUAAGCAUCGGCUAACUCCGUGCCAGCCGCCGCCGUAAAAC
rnacentral:rRNA from 1 species